rnacentral:rRNA from 1 species
UACGUAGGGGGCAAGCGUUGUCCGGAAUCAUUGGGCGUAAAGCGCGUGUAGGCGGCCCGGUAAGUCCGCUGUAAAAGUCAAAGGCUCAACCUUUGAAUGUCAGUGGAUACUGCCGGGCUAGAGUCCGGAAGAGGCGAGUGGAACUCCUGGUGUAGCGGUGGAAUGCGCAGAUAUCAGGAAGAACACCAACGGCGAAGGCAGCUCGCUAGGACGGUACUGACGCUGAGACGCGAAAGCGUGGGGAGCGAACAGG